rnacentral:lncRNA from 1 species
AGGAGGGGGCUUCCAAGAAGCUGCAUGUCAGCCAAGGUCCUGGAGAGUGUCUCACCAGUGGUGUGAGGCAGGGCGCUUUACUAAUCUGUAUUAACCGCAUAGCAGGACUUGAUUCCCCCCACAAUGCAGUCUACCUAUAGGAAUCCGUGUGUCCUCUCAACGGAGCUACCUUUUUCCUUGCCACUUUGAGCUACAGAUGGGCAGUUUGUCAUAAGUGAAGUGCCUGCCAGUGUGUCCUAAAGGAUGCCACAGGAGGGCUUUCUGGCUACAAUGGAAUGGCGAAUUUUCCACAGGCUCCAGCUCUCUCUGUACCACUAGGCAGGGCCUCACUUAGCCACCUAUGAAAGGAGCCCCUGGUGGAGGGAAAGGGGUGAAAACAAGAGGCUUCCUUCAGUUUCCCAGGACCUAAAGUAACCAGAGAUUCCCACCCUACCUGCUCCUCUGUCCCUAGGAUGCAGCCGGGACCUUGGACUUGUUUGCCCAGGGACAACCAUGUUUGGCUGGCGUGGAAAUGCAGUAUGAUUUCAGAGCUGCGUUUUGGGCCCCCACUGUGGUGGGGAGAGAUUUGAGCUGUGGCAUGGCCUAGAGGAGUGAGCAUCCAGGCAGGGUUCAGAAGAUGGGGAUAUCCCUCUGGACUGGGCCAAAUGUAGACAUGUGGGGAUUUUUCACUUCACAGGUGAGCUGCUGUCCCUGCGAAGAUGUUAAAGUACCUGGAGCCAGUGCAACAGAAGGCGUUUCAUAACGUGGACUGUUACAUGACUUCUGUAAUCCUUUCCCCAAGAAUUUGAAGUAUCAUUGAAAGAGGUCAUUUUAAAUAAUAUUAUGGACUCUCAGGGUUGGAAAAUAAUUUUGUGGUCGCUUAGCCCUUCCUGGCCCCCAGCACACCCCAGCCCAUUUGGGGCUAAGCACCUCUCCCCAGCACCUUCAAGUGAUCACAUCCCUCCUUGCAUACUUCCAGCAAUGGGAAGCUCAUCAACCCCAAGGCAGCCCCUGCCGUGGUUGGCCAGUGCUGUUAGAAAGCCCUUCCUUACAUUGAACCAAAAUCUGUUCUUUCACGCCCAUUUUCUAGUCUUGGAUCUAGACCUUCUUUCUCACUCAGAGCUUGACGUUAGAGAAAGUAAAGGACUCGUGAAGCCACUAAUGUGCUGUGUGACUGCGCAAGUCGCCCACCUCACUGAGCCACCUCCAUUUCUUCAUCUGUGA